AAAAGACAUCUGCAGAGAGCAGCCAGAACAAGGUUAGGCCAAGGAGGACAGACCCAAUCCUCCACAAACUCAAACUUCACACAGCAGAGAGAUAGGCCAUCUUGCUACUGCUUACAGCCUGUGUUCUUGUCUCCAGUGCGACCAGUAUGAAAAAAGGAAGCAGAGCUUCUUUUAAGAGACGCAAGAAGCGAGCUGCUCAAAGGCUGAGUGUAUCUCCAGAAUCUGCAAGCAGGAAGAUCUCACAAGAAAAGUCUGAAUCUUCCUGGGACUUAACAAACAACUAAUAGGAAGGAAGGGAGGGGAAAUUAAUCCCAUGCUUUCUUAAAACACAUCAGGAAACCCUACACUGUCUGUUCCCCCCGUCUCUUUCAAUGCAGGAGAGAGGAAAUUGAUAAUAGUGCUUUACUUGGCAGUCAACAUUUUCCUCUCAAUUCUGUUUAACUAUGUCCUGUAUGGCUACAGACCUACCACAGCCCUGUAUAUAGCACUAUGCAUAUCAAACUGAAAAAGUGUUCUGAAAUCUGGUUCCCAAUGAUCGUUAUUCUGAAAGCAAAUUACAACAAACUUGCUUAAGUCAUACAGAAGUAAAUAUUAAAUAACAGUACAAAAUACGAGCUUGAAGGUAGCUGGUUAGCAGAGGAGAAAAUGCUUGACUUUCAACAUGAAAUCACAGGCAAAUGUGACAGUCCUGAAAUGUGAUGAUCAAGAGAGGUAGAAAAAUGAAUAAUAACUAAUGUAUUUCAUUCAAUUAUCACUUAUUUCCCAAAUUCAUUAUAAUAAGCAAUUGGAUCCCCUCAUAAUGCAGUUGUGCUACUCAUCCUGGGUCAAAGGCCUACCAGGCUUAUUUAAGUAAUGAAGGAAGUAAAAGGAAGAAAGCAAGGAAGGAAGCAAAGAGUCUACUGAUGGAAAAUCACCACGAUGUACCCCACCACUGUACUACAUAUUUAGGGUUCAAACAAAAGAGAAUACAACUCAAAUAGGCAGAGCACCACUGUCAGACAAAAUCCCACAUUUUCUGGAAUUGCUCUUCACUUGAAGUUCUUCCUGGCAAACAGUCCAUUCCUUCUAUGGGGCUUUUGGGGCACAUCAGGCUCCUGCCCAAAGGAGCCAGUCUGGCCAUUGAGUGGAACAGGAUAAGACCGCACGUCACUCUCUAGCAGCCAAGGCACCAGCCAGAAUAGUGACUGUCCCAGUGGGGCACUGAGUGUGCUGUGAUGCUAGUGGCACAUGGUGGACACCUCAUCAACAGGGAUUAUUACAAUGAAGCAUAAAAAAAUUCUCCUUGCUUUCUUCCUGUAUUUAAUUCACACAGAAGAUUGACGACUUGAGUUGUAAAGUUGUUAAGUACACAAAAUCCUACCGAAAGCUAGCCAUUAGCUAUAUUCCCAUCCACAAAACAAGCUUUUAAUCUUCUUUUGAGCACUCAGAUAUGUGCCUAGAAGCAAAAAAUUAAUCACAACAAUGGCUGCAGUAGAGUGCAAUCAGAAGGAAACAGAUGGUGUAACGCAGUGUUUUCCAAACAGCAGCAGCCUCUAUCUCCAGGAAAAUAACCAGAAUAAUUUCCCUCGCCGUUGGCAUUACUAUAACAAAAGCUUGUAUUAGAAGAGUUUCUCUUCUGCUCUGUACAGCAUCAGGAAACCCCUUAGCAGUUGAAAGAUGGUAAUAUUAGAGUAUAAUAUGGCAGAUCCAAGUAGACUGGCACCCAUUUUUUCUUUCAUAUCACAUAAACAGUAGUAUUUAAUGGGCAACUCUUCCACUCAGUGAAUAUCUUUAAGUGACCACAAACAGCUCAGUGCAAGAAAAUCUUGGCAAUGAAACGGCUUGUAUUUUUCUCAAGCUCUAUCUCUGGGUCUGCUUUUAACUACAGGCACAGUAUUGCACAUUCACAGCAGCCACGCUGAAUUAUAUCUGUAUCCUUUCUGUAGUUCUUCCCAGGAACUCUUGCAAAAUUUUUGUUCAUAAAAUAACUUCAAGUUUUCUAAGAGAUCAUUAAAUUAAAUUGCCAUCACUUUCAUC
rnacentral:lncRNA from 7 species